rnacentral:rRNA from 1 species
UGGGGAAUUGUUCGCAAUGGGCGCAAGCCUGACGACGCAACACCGCGUGGAGGAUGAAGAUCUUCGGGUCGUAAACUCCUUUCGAUUGGGACGAAUGUCUCGCGGGUGAACAAUCCGCGAGAGUGACGGUACCGAGAGAAGAAGCCCCGGCUAACUCCGUGCCAGCAGCCGCGGUAAUACGGGGGGGGCAAGCGUUGUUCGGAAUUACUGGGCGUAAAGGGCUCGUAGGCGGCCAUCUAAGUCAGACGUGAAAUCCCCCGGCUCAACUGGGGAACUGCGUCUGAUACUGGAUGGCUUGAAUCCGGGAGAGGGAUGUGGAAUUCCAGGUGUAGCGGUGAAAUGCGUAGAUAUCUGGAGGAACACCGGUGGCGAAGGCGGCAUCCUGGACCGGAAUUGACGCUGAGGAGCGAAAGCCAGGGGAGCAAACGGG